rnacentral:tRNA from 1 species
GCGGGUGUAGCACAAUGGUAGUGCGCCUCCUUGCCAAGGAGGCUACGGGGGUCCGAUUCCCCUCACCCGCU